CUCUUCCGAUCUGCGGAAUUGGCCAUGCCACUACUAGUUAUUCGGCCAAUUACCCUCAAACAUCAUAUGCUACACCUCAUGCUACGAAUUUUUCGGCACCAUACGCAAUUGUAGAUAUUCGUGAUUCGGCU